rnacentral:lncRNA from 1 species
GCAGUAGCGACCGUCACCUGGGUUACUUUUAUUUCCGCGUUUAGUAGUUUAACAAAUAAAUAGUUCAGUUAGAUGAUCUCGAUGAUUAUUUGAAUGUUCGUGAAGUGGUUUUAGUGGAUCUGUGGAUGUUUUUAUUAUACAUGCGAUUGGAUAAUUGGUUUCGAUUUUAUGUAUUCAUACUUGGUGGUUUUCUACCUCUCGAGAUAGUCGGUUUUCAAAAUAGAGUUUCCGAGUGGGAAACCGUUUUAAAAGGUUUUCGAAUGAUUUCAUGAAUGAUUGAAUUAGAGUUUAAAACAAAGCUUCCGGGU